UGGGGGAUAUUGCACAAUGGGGGGAAACCCUGAUGCAGCGACGCCGCGUGGGCGAAGAAGUAUUUCGGUAUGUAAAGCCCUAUCAGCAGGGAAGAAGAAAUGACGGUACCUGAGUAAGAAGCACCGGCUAAAUACGUGCC
rnacentral:rRNA from 1 species